GCCCCCAUCGUCUAGCGGCCUAGGACGCCGGCCUUUCAAGCCGGUAGCACGGAUUCGAAUUCCGUUGGGGGCACCA
rnacentral:tRNA from 1 species